GACGAACCGUGCGAACGUUAUUCGGAAUCACUGGGCUUAAAGCGCGUGUAGGCGGGACGGCACGUCGGUCGCUGAAAGCCCCCGGCUCAACCGGGGAACGGGCGCCGAUACGACCGCCCUGGAGGGACGUAGGGGGACCUGGAACUUCCGGUGGAGCGGUGAAAUGCGUUGAGAUCGGAAGGAACGCCCGUGGCGAAAGCGAGGUCCUGGACGUCUGCUGACGCUGAGACGCGAAAGCCAGGGUAGCGAACGGG
rnacentral:rRNA from 1 species